rnacentral:rRNA from 1 species
GGAGUAUUGCGCAAUGGCCGAAAGGCUGACGCAGCGACGCCGCGUGUGGGAUGACGCCCUUCGGGGUGUAAACCACUGUCAGAAGGGACGAAACUCGUGCUUUCGAAUAGGGAGUGCGAUUGACGGUACCUUCAGAGGAAGCACCGGCCAACUCCGUGCCAGCAGCCGCGGUAAGACGGAGGGUGCAAGCGUUGUUCGGAAUUACUGGGCGUAAAGCGCGCGCAGGCGGUUUUUUAAGUCCAUUGUGAAAUCCCGGAGCUCAACUCCGGAUAUGCAGUGGAUACUGGAAGACUAGAGACCGGUAGAGGCUAGCGGAAUUCCUGGUGUAGCGGUGGAAUGCGUAGAUAUCAGGAGGAACAUCAGUGGCGAAGGCGGCUAGCUUGGCCGGGUCUGACGCUCAUGUGCGAAAGCGUGGGGAGCAAA